rnacentral:rRNA from 1 species
AUCGAUGAAGGCCUUAGGGUUGUAAAGAUCUUUCAGUGGGGAAGAUAAUGACGGUACCCACAGAAGAAGCCCCGGCUAACUCCGUGCCAGCAGCCGCGGUAAUACGGAGGGGGCUAGCGUUAUUCGGAAUUACUGGGCGUAAAGCGCACGUAGGCGGAUCGGAAAGUUGGGGGUGAAAUCC